rnacentral:rRNA from 1 species
UACGUAGGGUGCGAGCGUUUGUCCGGAAUUAUUGGGCGUAAAGAGCUUGUAGGCGGUUUGUCGCGUCUGCUGUGAAAAUCCGGGGCUCAACCCCGGACUUGCAGUGGGUACGGGCAGACUAGAGUGUGGUAGGGGAGACUGGAAUUCCUGGUGUAGCGGUGAAAUGCGCAGAUAUCAGGAGGAACACCGAUGGCGAAGGCAGAUCUCUGGGCCGUAACUGACGCUGAGGAGCGAAAGCGUGGGGAGCGAACAGG